GACGAACGCUGGCGGCGUGCUUAACACAUGCAAGUCGAACGGAAAGGCCCCCUUUUGGGGUGCUCGAGUGGCGAACGGGUGAUUAACACGUGGGUAACCUACUCUUGACUAUGGGAUAAUUUCUGGAAACUGGGGCUAAUACCGGCUAAUAGCUCCUGCUGCAUGGUGGGGGCUGGAGAGUUUCGGCGGUUGGGGAUGGACUCGCGGCUUAUCAGCUUGUUGGUGGGGUAGUGGCUCACCAAGGCUUUGACGGGUAGCCGGCCUGAGAGGGUGACCGGCCACAUUGGGACUGAGAUACGGCCCAGACUCCUACGGGAGGCAGCAGUGGGGAAUAUUGCACAAUGGGCGGAAGCCUGAUGCAGCAACGCCGCGUGCGGGAUGACGGCCUUCGGGUUGUAAACCGCUUUCGCCUGUGACGAAGCGUGAGUGACGGUAAUGGGUAAAGAAGCACCGGCUAACUACGUG
rnacentral:rRNA from 1 species